GAUGAAGAACGCAGCGAAAUGCGAUAAGUAAUGUGAAUUGCAGAAUUCAGUGAAUCAUCGAAUCUUUGAACGCACAUUGCGCCCGCCAGUAUUCUGGCGGGCAUGCCUGUCCGAGCGUCAUUUCAACCCUCGAACCCCUCCGGGGGGUCGGCGUUGGGGAUCGGCCCUUUCACCGCGUGCCGUCCCCCAAAUACAGUGGCGGUCUCGCCGCAGCCUCUCAUGCGCAGUAGUUUGCACACUCGCACCGGGAGCGCGGCGCGUCCACGUCCGUAAAACACCCCAAACUUCUGAAAUGUUGACCUCGGAUCAGGUAGGAAUACCCGCUGAACUUAAGCAUAUCAAUAAGCGGAGGA
rnacentral:misc_RNA from 1 species